ACUGACUGCCAUACCACCAUGAACGCCUGAUCUCAUCUGAUCUCGAAAGAUAAGCAGGGUCGGACCUUGUUAGUACUUGGAUGGGAGAAUCACUGACUGAUAGAAGGUAGGGAAACUCUGUA
ensembl:rRNA 5S_rRNA 5S ribosomal RNA